UCUUUAUGUGACUUUUGCGCCUCUAGAUUCCCUACUCCAACAUCGAGGUGCCAACCCUCACUAUUGAUAAGGACUCUUUAGUGAGAUUAGCCUGUUAUCCCUAAGGUAGCUUGUUUUGUUGAUCUUAUUAAGGGUCAUAAUUUAGAUUAAUUAAUCUUUUGUAAGGGGAUGAUGGUUUCCCCGGUCGCCCCAACCGAAUUUAUUAAAAAUUUGAACUUUUAUUAAAAUAAAGCUCUAUAGGGUCUUCUUGUCCUUCAAUGAUAUCUAACAGUCUUCAGUUAGAGAUUAAUUUUUAUUAGGCUUAUAGAGACAGUUUUUAUUUCGUUGGUCCUUUCAUUCUAGCCCACAAUUAAUGGGCAAGUGAUUAUGCUACCUUUGCACGGUUAGGAUACCGCGGCCGUUGAACUUAAGUCACUGGGCAGGAAUUACUUCUUAUAUUGGGGCAAGAAGCAAUGUUUUUGU
rnacentral:rRNA from 1 species